UACGUAGGGUGCAAGCGUUAAUCGGAAUUACUGGGCGUAAAGCGUGCGCAGGCGGUUAUGUAAGUCAGAUGUGAAAUCCCCGGGCUCAACCUGGGAACUGCAUUUGUGACUGCAUAGCUAGAGUAUGGUAGAGGGGGAUGGAAUUCCGCGUGUAGCAGUGAAAUGCGUAGAUAUGCGGAGGAACACCGAUGGCGAAGGCAGCCAUCUGGACCGACACUGACGCUGAGGCGCGAAAGCGUGGGGAGCAAACAGG
rnacentral:rRNA from 1 species